rnacentral:lncRNA from 1 species
GAGAAAGGGUCCCAGAGAUGAGAGGGGUGAUAAUAGUUUCCUUUUCUUCUCCUUAAAGCCCCUCAACGAAACCCCCCGAGCCCCGGAAACGCAAUCCCUAUCAGCCGAUCAAAGGCAAGCGCUGAGGAGUAUCAGAAGCAUGCAAAUUCAGUGAGCCACUCUUGGGGCCACACUAAACACUGACCUGGUAGAAAGGCAGGCAGCUCCUUGCAGAGCUCCUCAUCAGUGCCGGCCACCCCAUUCUUCAGUCCUUUUUAUAUUUUAAUGUUUGAUCAUUAAAACAGAAUCCCUUUUUACCCAGACAGCACAGAGCUGCACCUUUCACUGCCUCCUGCUCUGCGGGGAGAGCUGCCCACUUCACAGUUCAGAUGAGGUAGUCCAGAGAGAUCACCAGCCAGGGCUUCUCACUGGGACAGGAGAGCGCUACAGAUUACACUGGGACCGUGUCUUUGUGUUAAAAUAGCAAUUCAAACCAUGCACAAGAUGUUUUACAUAUUUCAAUCUCUUUCCUUUUUAAGACUUAUACAUUUGUAGGCUUUUUUUUUACUUCUUUCUCAUUAGGUUUAGUAGAUCCAUUAGCUAUUUAUCCAAUAUUCAUAAAAACAGAGUGUUAUUAAAGACUAUCUUGGUCCAACAAGCCCCUGUUUUAUUUAACCUGUACUGGACCCAAGCUGACUUGGCUGUUGGAGAUGACUGCUGGGCAUGCUCUGUUCUUUACAUGCUCUGUGUGUGUGGACAUGCUCUGUUCUUUACAUGCUCUGUGUGGGUGGGCAUGCUCUUUUCUUUAUAUGAAACAUUUGGGUGGGCAUGCUGUUCUUACAUGCUCUCUGUGGGUGGGCAUGCUCUGUUCUUUACAUGCUCUGUGUGUGGACAUGCUCUGUUCUUACAUGCUCUCUGUGGGUGGGCAUGCUCUGUUCUUUACAUGCUCUGUGUGUGGACAUGCUCUGUUCUUACAUGCUCUGUGUGGAUGGGCGUGCUCUACUCUUUACAUGCUCUGUGUGGGUGGACAGGCUCUGUCGUUUACAUGCUCUGUGUGGGAGGGCAUGCUCUGUGCCGGGCAUGCAGUCUUCCCUCACAGAACAAGCCUCACCAUUCUGU